UUUCAGCAUGGGUGAUUUUCCCUCUCCACCCUCUAGGUAAUGUAUGGUUGAUUGCCCUUGAUGCAAGACCAAGUCAGCUGAGAUUAGUCACUCAGAAAAAAUCAGUGUUGUCUUGGGCAAUAGAUUCAGCAAACAUUUACAGGUUCAAUAUGUGCCAGUUGCUGUUUCACUGAGGUUAUCACAACAAACUGAGGUAGGUACUAUUACUCCUGCAACUCUGAAAGUUUUAAGGACUUGCUCAAGGUCAUGGACCUAGUUAUUGCUGGCAUUCAAGCCAAGCUUUGGAUUUCGAAUGCAUUUCUCUUUUUCCUAUACCAACAACACAUCCUGGCUAAAAUCUCAGGGUAUGAACGAACAUUCGAUAAGUCAACAGGAGCAAAAAGUGUAAAAAAUGAAGGUCAUGUUGCACAAUCAGAAAUUGGAAGGUAGGGGUGCCUGGGUGGCUCAGUCGUUAAGCGUCUGCCUUCGGCUCAGGUCAUGAUCCCAGGGUCCUGGGAUCGAGCCCCGCAUCAGGCUCCCUGCUCGGCAGGAAGCCUGCUUCUCCCUCUCACACUCCUCCUGCAUGUGUUCCCUCUCUCGCUGUGUUUCUCUCUGUCAAAUAAAUAAAUAAAAUCUUAAAAAAAAAAAAUUGGAAGGUAAAAAUCUUGAAUAUGAUAGUAACUGGCAAAUCUAGAAUCUUCAGUUAGUAAUUAAUUUAGUGAUACAUAGAUGUUAUGCUCACCUAUAGCACCAACUGUGACUGAAAAGUCUAUGUGUGCCCUUAUCUUAUAUUAUAUACACAAACUAACUCCAAAAUGGAUCAAAGAUCUAAUGGAAGAGCUAAUACUAUGAAUCUCUUAGAAGAAAACAUAAAUAAAAGCUCCAUGACAUUGGAUUUGGCAAUAAUUUCUUAGAUAUGAUACCCAAGUAUAGGCAACAAAAGAAAAAAUAGGAAAAUUUGACUUUGUCAAAAUUAAAAUUUUUGUACUUUGAAGGAUACUAUCAACAGUGAAAAGGCAACUCAUGGGAGUUGGGAGAAAAAUUUGCAAAUCUUAUAUCUGAUAACGAUUAAUAUCCAGAAUAUAUAAAGAACUUCUACAACUCCACAGCAGCAAUAAAAAACCCAAACAACCCAAUUAAAAAAUGGGCAAAGGUCUUGAAUAUACAACUCCCGAAAGAAGACAUACAAAUGGCCAAUAACAUAUUAAAAGAUACUCAACAUCACUAAUCAUUAGGAAAAUGCAAAUCAAAACCGUGAGACAUUAAUAGAUACCCUUUAAGAUGAUUAGUAUUAAAAAAAAAAGAAAGAGAAAAUACAUGUUGGCAAGGGUAUGGAGAAGUUGGGACCCUUGUGCUCUGCUGAUGGGAAUGUAAAAUAGUGCAGUCACUAGGGAAGACAGUAUGGCAAUGCCUCAAAAAAAUUAAACAUAGAAUUACCAUAUGACCCAGCAAUUCUACAUCUGGGUAAAAACCCAAAAGGAUUGAAAGCAGGAACUCAAACAAAUAUCUGUAUACCAGUAUUAUAGAAUCAUUAUUCACAAGAGCUGAAAGGUAGAAGCAAUCCAAAUGUCCACUGAUGAACAAAAGGAUAAACAGAAUGUGGCACAUGCAUACAAUGGAAUAUUAUUUAGCUUUAAAAGAAGAGAAAAUCCAGUAUAUAAUACAGCAUGAAUGAACCUUGAAAAUGUUAUGCUAAGUGACACAAACUAAAUGCAAAAAGACAAAUAGUAUUAUGAUUCCACUUAUAGGAGAUACCUAGAAUAGUCAAAUUCAUAGAGACAGAAAGUAGAAGAGUAGUUACCAGGGAAUAAGUAAUUGUUGCUCUGUGGGUACAGGGCUUAAUUUGAGAUGAUACGAAAUUUCUGUAAGUGGAAUAGUAGUGAUGGUUAUGUAACAAUUGAAAUGUCAUUAAUGCCACGAAACUGUCCAUGGUAAAUGGUUAAAGUGGUAAAGUUUAUGUUAUGUAUAUUAUACCACAAUUUAAAAAAUAAUAAUAUCCCUGCCAUUACAUAAGAAAGGUGAGUAAGCAAUCCUUUAAAAAAAAAUAAGUAUAUGUGUAGAUUGAGGUCAGAGAUUAGAGGAAGGCACAUACAACAUACCUUUCUCUGAAUACUGACAAUGCAGUUUUUCCAUUUAUUCAACAUUGAAAAGCACGUUAAGGUUUUCAUCCACUUAUUCAUAAGAUAAGCAAGUCAUGGUUCCUUUGCUCAAAAAGUUUACAGACUAUUUUGAAUAAACAUUAUGUCACACACAAACCUGUGAUGCCAAGUCAGUUUUCAUCUCUCAUUUAUUCAACAAAUAAUUAUUGAAUGUCUAGCACAUGCCAGGAAUUACUCUAGGCUCUGAGGACACUGUGGUGUAUUAAAGCUCCUGUUGUAAUACAGCUGACAUUGCUUUGAGCGGAGACAGACAAUAAACAAAUGAGUAAAUAUGUAAUAUUGGAUGGUGAUCAAUUCUGGGGGAAAAUAAAACAGUGUAAGGGGUAGAUGGAGUAACUGGGUUGUUGGUAGCAGAGUGAGGGAUAUUUUAAAAAAUGGCCAGUGACCUUUCAGAAAAAAGAAUGAUAAAGUGAUGUUGCAGCAGAGAACUGAAUGAAAGGAAAAGCAAACAAUGUGGAUUUAUACAGAAGUAUUCCAGGAAGAGGAAAGUUGAAUUGUAAAAGCUCUGAGAUAAGGAUAUUCUUGGGUGUUCAAAAAAGAGUAUGAAGGUCAGUAUAAAUGGAGCAAAGGUUUUUGUUUGUUUGUUUGUUUGUUUUGUUUUGUUCUUUUAAAGAAAUACUCCAAAUUUUAAAGGUAGGGAGAUGAGAAAUAAUCAACAAAGGUCAUUGAGAUGCAGUGUUGAAUGAGAUGGAGCAGAACCAAGUGAAGAAAUUUCCUCAAGAAGGAGAGCACCUGGGUGGGCUCAGUCAUUUAAGCAUCUGCCUUCAGCUCAGGUCAUCAUGCCAGGGUCCUGCGUUGGAGUCCGCAUCAGGCUCCCUGCUCAGAAGGGGGCCUGCUUCUCCCUCUCCCUCUGCCCCUCCCUCCUGCUCAUUCAUGUUCUCUCUCUCUCAAAUAAGUAAAUAAAAAUAAAAAUAAAAUAAAAUGAUAAAAAGAAUGAGGAGAACACUGGAGAGAAAUGUGUGUUGAGGAAGGUUUUUAUCUAAAUGAAAAAAACAAAAGCAUGUUUUCAUGUUGAAAGCACUGAUCCAAUAGGACAAAUUGAUGUGGUAGAGAAAGGAAGCAAUGGCUAAAGUCUUUGAGAAGGUAAGAAAGGAUGUGAUUUAAUGCACAAGUAGAAGUGAUGGGUGCAACAGGUGGGGCCCUCUACAGUUUUAGGCAGGAAAGCAGAAUAUGUAAUGUGGGUGCAGUUAGGUGGGUAAAUGCACCACAAAUGUACAUUUUCUUCUGAUUUCUUUUAUUUUCUCAGUGAAAUAGAAAACAAAGUCACAAAGACUCCAUCUGAGAGUGAGGGGACAGGUGAUAUGAGAGACAAAGGUGUGAAAUUGUUUCUAGGGGUGUAUUUGAGUCUAAAGCAGUAAGGAAACAGUAUGGUUGAAGGCAACAUAUUCAGGGAUUAUUUGAGGUUUGUGGUCAUGAAUUUACACAGAAUAUACAGCAUGGCUGUGUUUUUAUUCAGCCACAUUGCCCAGGUGGGGGUGCAAAUAGUUUGAGAGUUGAAUCGAACAAUGUUGGGGUUUUGCCAGAAGAAUGUAAUGGAAACAAUGAUAUUGGGAGUGUAAGGAAGGUCAUUAAUCCACAAUGGAUUAUUGAAUAAAUGAGCUGUGUGGGGAGAGAAAUAAGGACACAGUUCAGGGACAAGGGCGCAGUAAAAAGGUGAUAGGAUUAAUGGAUAGUAGGUCCCAUUUGGAUAAAGAAUUUUUGGAGCUGGGACACUAGAGGGAAUAAACCAGAUAGAUAGGAGACAGUAGUUAGACUGAAGUGCUAGAAACGGAGAUUGUGGAAGAGGCACUAUUCUUAGACCUCAACUAUGACCACAGGAACAGGUGAUUGAGCGAGUGGGAAUAACAGAAGUGGAUCAAAGAACUGAGAUUCCAAAAUUUUUUGUGGAAUCACUAUGAAAUAUGAUUAUAGUGACAGCCGGAUUAUAAACUCUUCAGGGACAGGAAUCUCCCGAAAUAUUUGUACUUGUAGGCUGUUGGACUCACUGUUCAUCUGUCUGAAGCAUUUUCUCACCAUAAAUUCAUAAAAUUCAGCCUCUUAUUGCUUCAAAUUUCCCCUAAAAUAUCUCCUCAUAAAUAGGGCUUCCUACUCCCCAGCUACAAUAGCACCACCACCCCUCUAGGGGCUACCCCCACCUUUUUACUCCAGUUUGGUUUUCCUCAUACCACUUAUCUCCACUGGGCAUGUUUUCUAUCCAUUCAUUUGCAUGUUUAUUAUUUAUUUUAGACAAAGUCUCCAAUGCAAGUGCCAUAUGGACAGAAAUUCUGCAUUUAGUAGCAACUGUUGUUGUAUUCCCAGCAAUUAAAAUGGUGUCUGAUAUACAGUAACCACUUAAUAAAUAUGAAUUGUUGAAAGAGUCUCAAAUUAUCACCAGUUAUCUCUGGGGUAAUAGCACUGAAGGAAUUAUUAAAGAGCAAAUGAUUUCAGAAGGGCUAUUGGCCUAUUUCUUUCCUUCCCAUGUCUUAUUUUAUCAUCACCUCUCCCCUUCUCCAUCUCUCCCUGCUCUUCCUCUGAUCCCUAAAUGUUAGGGAGAAACACACUUAGAUGUCCCCUCUCCACAAACCCAUCUCUCAGCGCUGCUUUCUCUCUGGCUGCAGCCCCUUCACACGGAACUGGGAGGACAUUCACUCUCUGCGCACCUCCCCCUCCUGCCCUCCCACCUCAAAAUCUGCUGCAACCCCACUUCCACCACAACAGCUCUAGGAAGAAGUCCCUCAAAAGGUCAGUGAUGACUUCAUCCCCAAACAAAAUGACAUGGCUAGGCCUCAAAAUACAAAAGUUAAGUUUGGGCUUGUCGGCUGGUUUCUUGGCUCCUCUAGCAUCACUGUCAGUGCUACUCUAGCCCCUAUCGAUUUAACACUGUCCUUUUCACCCCUCAGUAUCCAAGUCAGAUGGCCGCUUCCCCGGCUGCACGGGGUCCCACUGUUGGUCAUCCCACUCAGUGCGCUCUUCCUGGAGGUCCUAUUUACUCCCAGGGCUUCCCUGGGGGCUGUAUGUGGCUGAUCUCCAGACUUCUGUUCUCCUUUGCCUCUUGAAUUCAUCGCCUUUUUACCUGCUUGCUUAACAUCACUACUAAGAAGACUGUGACUUCUUUGUAGGCUAUCUAUUUAUUUUGUAUCCUCACUGCCCUCCUUUACAGAUGAGCAGAUGGAGGCACAGAGAGGCUUAGGAACUUAGCUGAGAUCAUACAGUUAUGGAGCAGCCUAUCAGAAGCAUCACAGUUCAGGAUUUGAACCUUGGGACUGGAGGCUGAUAUGAAAAAGGUAGCUAAGAAGUUGAACUUCACAUGGUGGAUAUUUGUCAGGAUCAUCUUACUUGGUUGAAAGCACCAGGUGUGGAUUGUGUCAGGAUGAAGAUCUUUUCUAUUCUAUUCACCCAUGAUAACCCAGAGACUUGAAUGAGCACCUUACUUCCCAGCAACUCAGAAGCAAGCCUGGAGAGUCUGGAUCACCAUCAUGACACACUUUGAAGCACUGCAGACAAGAUCCACCAAAAUCUUAUCCUUUUUUUAUUUCUUUUCUCUUCCUGCACCCCCUUGCUUUAUGUUCUCCACUAGUACUUUGCUCUGUCAUGCCUCUGCCUUUUUUCGUGUUCUCCCUGGUCCCCUCCCCAACAGCAAUUCAUCUUAAAAGACUCAGCUCUUCUUUAAACUUUCCAAGUGUGCUGUCUCCUGUCCAGGUAGAAUAAACCAUACCCUUUGCCCAUUCUGAUACAUCUCCUUGUUCAUUUUGAGAACAACGGCAUGCAUGCUAGGUUUCAUAUCUAAUUUAAAAGUUAUCUUAAACAGGAUCAUGUAAAGAGUCAUUUUGAAAAAAUUUUGAAAUUUACAUUUUAAGUAACUAUCUUUUUUCUUCUUUUCUGUUUUUAAUAAUCAUUUAUAGAUUUUUUUAAUUGGGAAAAUUAUUUCUUCUUUUGGGGAUAAUUAUGUCAUUGAUGGGAACUUAUAAAAUCCAACUCACAAGCUAAUUAAAGAAUUAUGGUCAUUGAAUAAAUCAACGAUAAUCUCACUGAGUAAACCUCAGCAGACCCAUGACCAGUUAUUUCAAGUGCACUGAAGAUCACCUGAGAAUGUACCAGUGUCCUAGAAGUAAAAAGUCAGACGCAGAGCAUGCUGGUGUUAGACUAGAAAAGAAUGCCUAUCAAUUCAUAGUCAAGAUUACUAGCCAGGAGUCAUGGUUGUAUUUGAAUAAAAACAAUGAUUGCAUUGAGAAGGAGUAAUGAACUCAGAGGAUUUAAGGAUCUAAAGGUGAUCAUGAAAGGUGUAUAAGUAAUCAUAUUAUAUGAUUAAUUUGAUGUGAAUGUGAUAGAGUGUCUUCAUUAAUCAUGUGUAAUUUUGUGGGUAGUUGGCUUUGUUUUGUUACAUUUCGCAGAAGAAAUAGAACUAAUGGAGUUCUGGGGUGCCUGGGUGGCUCAGUCAUUAAGCAUCUGCCUUCAGCUCAGGUCAUGAUCCCAGGGUCCUGGGAUUGAGCCCCGCAUCAGGCUCCCUGCUCAGUGGGAAGCCUGCUUCUCCCUCUUCCACUCCCCCUGCUUGUGUUCCCUCUCUCAUCUCUCUCUCUGUCAAAUAAAUAAAUAAAUAAAAUCUUUUAAAAAUAAAAAAAAAUUUAAAAAAGAACUAAUGGAGUUCUGAUAAAUUUUAGACACUCACAAGAUUGUUUUUCAUCUAGAAUGUUGGGAGAAAAUGAAAUUUUCUUCACCUCCCACUCUAUAUCAUCACGCUCUUGCCAACCUAGACACAAAACUUCUGAAUUUGUUAUUAGGGCAUCUUAUCAAUUCAAAAUGUGAUUUUGAAUGGUUGCCAGAGAGGUCAGUGAAGAGUCCCUUUAUAUGGUUCUUGGGAUGGGGGCAAUUGCUUUCUUAAAGGUCCUUAACUGAAUGUGUCAGCAUAAAGGCAUGUGUUAUACAUAAAGUAGGAAUUGCUCAUAAGACCUGUAUUAAUUUUGUUCAAUUUUGCUACCAAAGAAUAACGUUUAUGUAUUUUUAAUUUUUAACUUACUUUAUUCUUGCUUAGAGAUAACCAUUGUUUCUGGACUACAUGUUUUGGUUUUCUUUCCACUAGUACCUACUCAUUAUUUAUUUCUGUAACAAUUAUUAUUUACACUAUUUCCACCUUUCGUAAUGUUAAAAGUAGGUUUUAACAAUAAUCAAAUAUAUAUUUGUGGUACGCAGAAUUCUAAGAAUAAUCUCCAAUGAUCAUUAUUCUUUUGUAACCUCCUUCCUUUGAGUAUGAGCAGAACCUGUGAGUAUGAUGACAUAUCUGUGAUUCCUGCUGUGCUUAUGAUAUGUUACAUGGAAAAGUUAACCUUAAAAUAGGGAGAUAAUCCAGGUGUCUAAAUCUAAUCACACAAGUCCUUUAAAAGCAGAGGGUUUUCCUUGGAUGGUGGCAUAUAAGAAAGGCAGAAGAGAAAGUCAGAGAAAUUCAAAGCAAGAGAAAGAUUUGAUUCAUCACUUGAAGAUGGAGGGACCAUGUGCAAGGAUGAAGAACAGCACCUAGAAGCUGAAGAGUGGCUCCUGGCUAACAGCCAUUGAGGAAACAGGAACUGUAGUCUCAUAGCAAAUAAUAAAAUUCUGCCAACAUUAAGAGUAAACUUGGAAGUGUAUUCUUUCCCAGAGCCUCUAAAUGAGAGCCCUGCCUGGCCAACACCUUGAUUUCACUCUUGUGAUACUCUCAGCAUAAAA